AGCAAGCUGUUUGCACGGUCUCCCCUGACGUGGGUCCCCAGCCGGCUCCCAUUUCUGCAACAACUUGUUUACAGACCCUGUGAAGCAGACAUGGUGCAGCUGUUCAAAUCUCCCACCUCCUUUUCACCAUGAACUAGGGUGCCUAGGCCCUCGCCAGCCUCACCAGGGUCAGUCUCACAACCCCCAUUUCCUGUCUGGCUGUCACAGUCCUGCACAGGACCCUGCGCCCGCCCGCCAGCCCGCCCUGUGUGCCCGGGCCCGCCUCCAGGGCUUUAUGACAUCACAGCUGCUGUGAGAAUAGUUGCCUUGGCAUCGCAAACGCAGUUCAGGACCAGAAGACUCGAAAAUUGCGGACUGAGGCUUCCGAGCGAGCUGAGUGCACGCGGCGGUGGCUUGCAUUCUGGGAGAAAUGUGCAAUAAAAGUCUUUUAAGAAGU
rnacentral:lncRNA from 1 species